rnacentral:rRNA from 1 species
GACGGAGGAUGCAAGUGUUAUCCGGAAUCACUGGGCGUAAAGCGUCUGUAGGUGGUUCGAAAAGUCCACUGUUAAAAAUUGAGGCUUAACUUCAAAGAUGCCGUGGAAACUUUCAAACUAGAGUAUGGUAGGGGUAGAGGGAAUUUCCAGUGGAGCGGUGAAAUGCGUAGAUAUUGGAAAGACCACCGAUGGCGAAGGCACUCUACUGGGCCACUACUGACACUGAGAGACGAAAGCUAGGGGAGCGAAUGGG